GGGUCCGUGGUCUAGUGGUUAUGACGUCGCUUUGACGUAGCGGAGAUCCCCAGUUCAAUUCUGGGCGGACCCA
rnacentral:tRNA from 1 species